GCAGGUUGAGAUAAUUUCUCUACAGUAGCAGGUUCAAUUUCUUGAGAAAUUUCAUCAAGUUGUGCAGUAGUUCCAGCAGUGAUAGACGACGACGACGGCACGUUAGUAAUUUCUGAUGUCUCUGCAGUUUGUUGCUGGAUAUUCUUGUCUUCAUCCAAGUCUACUGCUGUUUUUAUUGGCCUCCCAUUCCGAAGAGUUAUCGCCUUCGCAUGUUCUUGGUUUUUCGGAUUAAUCUCUGUUUGGCUUGGCAAAGCUCCAUUUACUCUUCCUGUCAAUACAUUAGCUAGCUGGCCCAUCUGAACCUCCAAGUUUCGAAUAGAGGCAGCU
rnacentral:lncRNA from 1 species